CUGGGCAAUGGCGGGCGCCCCUGCCCCAGCCUCGCUGCCGCCUUGCAGUUUGAUCUCAGACCGCUGUGCUAGCAAUCAGCGAGACUCCGUGGGGGUAGGACCCUCCAAGCCAGGCACUGGGGAAGGGCCACAUGACCACACAGUGAAAAGGUGGCUGCCUACAAGCUGAGAGAUGAGGCCUCGGAAUGAAACCUGCCUGGCUAGUGUUUUGAUCUUGGAUUUUCCUGCCUCCAGAACAGAAAAUAAAUUUCUGUUGUUUAAGUCCUGGUCUACGGAAUUUUGCUAUGGUGUAUCCGCACAGCACUCAUCAGAGGCACAAGCUUGAAUUUGAGAUACUGCAUGGGUCAUACUCACUAGGACCCCUGCUAUGGUGACUUCUGAAAACUCAGUGACUACAGCAAUCAAGACAGUGCGGUAUUGGUAAAACAACAGACAAAUAGAUUGGUCAAACAAAACAGAGAGCUCAGAAAUUGACCCACACAAAUAUGGUCAACUGGUCUUUGACAAAUAAGUAAAGGCAAUUCAAUAGUCUUUUCAACAAAUGGUUCUGAAACAAGACAUCAACAUAAAAUAAAUUUAGAAACAGAUCUUUUACCUCUUACAAAAAUGAACUCAAAAUGCAUCAUAGGCCUAAGUGUAAAAUACAAAACUAUUAAACACCUAGAAGAUAACAUAGGAAAAAAUCUAGAUGUGUUUGGGUUUGGAGAUGGUUCUUUAGAUAUGUCACCAAAUGCACUGUAUACAUGAAAGAAAAGUUGAUACAUUGGACUUCAUUAAAAUUAAAUAUUUUUGUUCUGUGAAAGACACUGUCAAGAGAAUGAGAAGUAAGCUACAGAGUGGGAGAAAUAUUUUCAAAAGAUAUAUCUGAAAGAGGACUUGUUACCCCAAAUAUAGAAGGAACUCUUAAAGCUCAGCGAUAAGAAAACAAACAACCUGAUUAAACAACCAGGGUAAAAAAUCUGAACAGACACCUAACCAAAGAAGAUAUACACAUGACAAAUAAGCAUAUGAAAAGAUAGUCUACAUUAUACCUCAUUAGGGAACUGCAAAUUAAAAUAACCACCACUCCACACCUAUUAGAAUGGAUAACAUCUAAAACACUGACAACACUAAAAGCUGAUGAGGAUGUAGAGCAACAUGAACUUUCAUUCAUUGUUGCUGGGGAUGUAAAAUGGCACAGCCACUUUGGAAGACAGUCUGGCAGUUUCUCAUAAAGCUAAACAUGGUCUUGUCAUAUGAUUCAUAAAUUGUGUUCCUUGGUAUUUACCCAAAAGAGUUAUGUCCACAGAAAAACUUGUCUCCACACAAAAACCUACAUACAUACAUUUAUAGCAGC
rnacentral:lncRNA from 1 species